CUGAAGCUACUUGAAUGCUCAUAAACAAGCAAGGAAUUGGCUUCAGGAUCGAACAUCAAUUGCAACAAUUUGAUAAAAAGAGAUUUCCAUCGCUUCUGUCAUGCAUUUCCAGUUACUGAAGAGGUUUUACUGUAUCAUAUGUUGCCUGAAACUUGGUGAUUUCUCAGAAACUUGGUGUAAAUUCAACAUGGGGGAAGAAAAGAUUUAUUUUAACUCAGGUUU
rnacentral:lncRNA from 1 species